UGCAGUCGAGCGAACAGAUGAGAAGCUUGCUUCUCUGAUGUUAGCGGCGGACGGGUGAGUAACACGUGGGUAACCUACCUAUAAGACUGGGAUAACUCCGGGAAACCGGGGCUAAUACCUGAUAAUAUUUUGAACCGCAUGGUUCGAUAGUGAAAGGCGGCUUCGGCUGUCACUUAUAGAUGGACCCGCGCCGUAUUAGCUAGUUGGUAAGGUAAUGGCUUACCAAGGCGACGAUACGUAGCCGACCUGAGAGGGUGAUCGGCCACACUGGAACUGAGACACGGUCCAGACUCCUACGGGAGGCAGCAGUAGGGAAUCUUCCGCAAUGGGCGAAAGCCUGACGGAGCAACGCCGCGUGAGUGAUGAAGGUUUUCGGAUCGUAAAACUCUGUUGUUAGGGAAGAACAAAUUUGUUAGUAACUGAACAAGUCUUGACGGUACCUAACCAGAAAGCCACGGCUAACUACGUGCCAGCAGCCGCGGUAAUACGUAGGUGGCAAGCGUUAUCCGGAAUUAUUGGGCGUAAAGCGCGCGUAGGCGGUUUCUUAAGUCUGAUGUGAAAGCCCACGGCUCAACCGUGGAGGGUCAUUGGAAACUGGGGAACUUGAGUGCAGAAGAGGAGAGUGGAAUUCCAUGUGUAGCGGUGAAAUGCGCAGAGAUAUGGAGGAACACCAGUGGCGAAGGCGGCUCUCUGGUCUGUAACUGACGCUGAUGUGCGAAAGCGUGGGGAUC
rnacentral:rRNA from 1 species